rnacentral:rRNA from 1 species
GACGAACGCUGGCGGCGUGCCUAAUACAUGCCAGUAGAACGCUGAAGGAGGAGCUUGCUUCUCUGGAUGAGUUGCGAACGGGUGAGUAACGCGUAGGUAACCUGCCUGGUAGCGGGGGAUAACUAUUGGAAACGAUAGCUAAUACCGCAUAAGAGUAGAUGUUGCAUGACAUUUGCUUAAAAGGUGCAAUUGCAUCACUACCAGAUGGACCUGCGUUGUAUUAGCUAGUUGGUGGGGUAACGACUUACCAAGGCGACGAUACAUAGCCGACCUGAGAGGGUGAUCGGCCACACUGGGACUGAGACACGGCCCAGACUCCUACGGGAGGCAGCAGUAGGGAAUCUUCGGCAAUGGACGGAAGUCUGACCGAGCAACGCCGCGGGAGUGAAGAAGGGUUUCGGAUCGUAAAGCUCUGUUGUAAGAGAAGAACGAGUGUGAGAGUGGAAAGUUCACACUGUGACGGUAUCUUACCAGAAAGGGACGGCUAACUACGUG